CUCAAGGGAGGACACUCACUAAUUCCAGGUCAGAAAGAGACCAGAACAACCCCAGAGUUCUGGGCAUGAGCAAAGAGCCAAGGACCAUCUCCAGACAUCAAAGAGCAUUAUAUCAUGGCUAAGAACAGAUGCUGGGGCCAGGGAGAUGGGCACAGGGAGAUGGCACUAAGCUUUCAGAGGAUUGGAGUUUGGUUCCCAUUCCCAUGUUGGCCAGAUCAUGACGGCCAGUGGCUACAGCUUCAGAGGACCUGGAACCUUCUUCUGGUGACCCUGCAUGCACCACCUUCAUAUGCACCUCCCCCUAAGACACACACGCCUUCCUAACUGUCUCUGGUGACAACAGGACAGGUACAUCACAGCUGUUUGUGUGCUAUGAUUUCCUGUGUGUGCACACAGGAAGAAGACCCUCUUUUCUUCUUUGCCCACAAACUGCUCUUCACUCCUGGGAUGACCUUGCUUCAGCUGGGAUCAGAAGCUCAAGAGCACACUGGAAGACAAAAUGGGUAGCAAGUGCAGGCAAGAAAGAGCGUCCAACCUCAGACACCACCGGGAAAAUGCAAAAUGUGACCAUGAGAUGCAACUUCUCAAACAUA
rnacentral:lncRNA from 1 species